GACGAACGCUGGCGGCGUGCUUAACACAUGCAAGUCGAACGGAAAGGCCCCCACUUUUUUGGUGGGGGUGCUCGAGUGGCGAACGGGUGAGUAACACGUGGGUGAUCUGCCCUGUACUUCGGGAUAAGCUUGGGAAACUGGGUCUAAUACCGGAUAGGACCAUGGUUUAGUGUCUCAUGGUGGAAAAAUUAUUGUUUUGGUGCAGGAUGAGCUCGCGGCCUAUCAGCUUGUUGGUGGGGUAAUGGCCUACCAAGGCGUCGACGGGUAGCCGGCCUGAGAGGGUGGACGGCCACAUUGGGACUGAGAUACGGCCCAGACUCCUACGGGAGGCAGCAGUGGGGAAUAUUGCACAAUGGGCGCAAGCCUGAUGCAGCGACGCCGCGUGGGGGAUGACGGCCUUCGGGUUGUAAACUCCUUUCGUUAGGGACGAAGCCGCACCUUUUUUGGGUGUGGUGACGGCACCUUUGUUAAGAAGCACCGGCUAACUACGUG
rnacentral:rRNA from 1 species